AUGCUCUCUUUGCACCGCCGCAUGUGCCUGUGCAUAUUCCGCAGACUCCCCCUCCUACAAGAGAUCUCCGCCACCGUCCCGAUUGGAUCACGCUGCCGCCAACCAGUGGUUCAGCAGGGAACGCUGCCGCCCGAUUGGAUCUUGGACGCCCUGCAAGAGCUCAAGCCGCCGCUCGGCUGCACGCAUCUGCCCUGCAGGUCUCCGGCUGGACCAGGCCACGACCCCCACUAG
rnacentral:rRNA from 1 species